rnacentral:lncRNA from 1 species
AUGGCGGCUUCAAGAAAUCUAAGCUAGGUAACUUUUUUUGCUUUACUGUUUGCUGCAUUUCAUCCUCCAUUUCUAAUCUUUGUUUAGUUGCCUCUUAUAGGCUUCAUUAUUUGUUAUCUAUAUGUGCUGUCAAAUCUAGGGUUUUGCUAAUUUUUCUUCUCCUGGUUUUUUGAAUUUAAUGAUGUACAUGUCACUCUUUAUUGGCGUUGUCUAUUUAUUGUUUUCUAGUGGCCUUUAUUUUGGUUUAUUCUGUAUUUUGUUCCGUGAAGCAAGGUUAUAAUGCUUAUGAUUUUCAUUGGUUUUUCCUUUUGUUUUCAUUGUUGUCAUGUGUUCAUCAUAUUUCUUUUUUACCAAAAUGCAUAAUGGUGUAUAUUAAUAGAGCUUUUUUCAGCUUUGUAUAUUUUGUUGUCAGUUGUGGUGGAUGACAAUAUCUACGUAGUGGUUGUAAAUAUAGUUUGAUAGAUAGAAUGCCACACCAAAGUGCAAAGUUUGAAUAGUUAAAUGAAUUUAGAAUUCGGAAGUUCUAAAUAUGAGUGAGUUUCUUAUAAAGUAUGAUACUUAAAAACUACAAAGUCAAAUUUGAAACCGAUGUAGUAAAAUAUUUUUUCAUGAUUGAGCUGACAAAAUUUUGUUUUCAUGUAAGAAAGAGAGGACAACAAAUUUGCUGUAGUUACUGGUCCUUUUUUUUUUUUCCUCCAGAAGGCUUUGUCGUGCUUUCUACAGUAUUUUGUCAUGAUUUCUUCACUUCUGUUGUUCUUUUUUUCGAUCUGCUUUGAUAUACUGUUUACUGUUUGUUGAGCCGGGGGUCUAUUGAAAACAACCUCUCUAACUUGCAAGGUAGGGGUAAGGUUUGCGUACUCUCUACCCUCCCCAAACGCAUUACACUGGGUAUGUUGUUGUUGAGCACUUCCUUUUUUUUUAAAAAAUAAGCACUUUUGACUUUUCAGAAGCUUGGCCAAACAGGCUAUAACCAUGCACGGACCUUUUUGUUUAUUUUUUGUUUUAAAUAUAAAGAUCUAAGUGCUAGACUUCAUUGAUUUCAUAGAUACAUAGGGUGUAUAGUCCACACUCCACAGAUGCUUUUUGUAACUAGCGAUACCAACUUGGUAUUGAAACUGUUUACAAUAAUUGCUUACUUAUUAAAAGAUUGUUUGAGUUCAGCUUUAUAUGGUUUCAUUCCUCAUCCUCCAUUCCUUAUAAGUGUGGGGGUGGCGCUCUAUGGUGCUGAUUCUGAACAUAGUUUUGUAGAAAGAGAUAAUCAUGACUAUCAUAAAAAUACUUUGUCCCAUUUUAUAUGGCGUUAUUUGAUUGAAUGCUGCUUUUGAAACUUUAUGACUUAUAUGUAAAUAUUAGUGAUUGUGGAGCAAAAUGUUUACAAUAGUGGUUCACAAGUUAGUUUGAUUGAGAAAUGUUACAUCAAAGUUCAAUUUUUUUUAUUGUUGUAAUGAAUUUCCACUUUUGAAAGAUGUUUAGAAAAGGAAUGUCGCCAAACAUUCUGGAGUAUAUUAGUUUUGAUAUUUAUCUAACAAAACUAAUAGUAUCAAGGAAAAACAAGAUCAUGAUAACAAUAAAUGUAAAUAAAGUGAUUGCUUCUUGAGCUGUGGAUGGAGUUACUCUUUUUGUAGGAUUUUGGAAGAUUUGAGCCUAAAUAUGCUAAAAAGUUGCAUUUCUGGCAGAUUUUAACUCCUGAAUUUAGUUUUACUUCAUGUACCAUUGCACUUAUCAUUUCAAAUAUAAUUAUCUGCUUCUGUAAUUGCUUAAGCACAAGUUCUGGCUUCCAUAAAAUUAAAGUACUUUUUAUUUGCAUAAUAGCCGAGGCACAAGUUUUGUACUUUGUCUCGUUUAGGUAAAUUUUGCUCAGGUUCCGCUUCUAGCUUGUUUUUCUGAUCAACUGUUUAGCUUUGUAUAUACAGCUCUGAGCUACUGGACUGAUGGCAGGUUUUCACUAAGCGGGGCAGGGAAGUCAAGUAUCAGACUAAUAAAUACCUUUAGUGCUUAUUUACUUACUUUUAAGUGUGGGAUCUUAGUCAGUCUUUUCUGCAUCUGUUGUCCAUCACUUAACUGUCCCCAUCUUCCAGGUGAGAAUUUUGGUCAUACUCCAGGCUGGUCUCAUUUCUUUGUUUUUCCAUACAUUUAAAAGUAUUACACAUAGACUCGGGUCUAUCUGGAACAGCCUCUCUUCCUUCAAGGGGGUUAGGUCUGCAUACACUCUACCCUACAGACCCCACUCACUGGUAUUACACAGGGUUUGUUGUUGUUGUUGUUAUUGUAUGUAGAAGUAAGACGCACACUCUCUACAUAAACUUCUUUAGGCCAGAGGUCUAUGAUGCAAGACUAUGGUACCAUAUGCAACUAUGCUCAGAUUAGCUAUACAUGAAAUCCAUAUCCUGAGUUUACUUUUUUGCUUUCUUAUAAAUAAAAAAAAAAGAAUACAUAUCAUGGGUUUAAUUUUCUGCCUUGUGAUUACUCUUCCGAGUUCUGGUUUUUCUAUGUUGCUUGUGAUCCAUUAGGUUUGCCAUUAUAGUUCUGUUAGUUGUUUGCCCACUCCUUAUAUUGGGGUUCUAGUAGCUGCCGCUUGAAGUUAAACCGUUUUUGGGAAGUAGUCAGGGUGAAGAGUCCAUAAUUGUAACUCUUUUAGUUUGAAAAUUGAGGAUGUUGCUCUGACAUAUUUGCUCAAGGGCCAGCAUGUUUUGUAAUGAUUUUAAUUAAAAAGGUUUUUAGGAUGUAGUCUUUGUACAGCUUCUUCUUUAGGAUGUAGACUGGAUUUAGGUACGCAACAAUCGUUCGAAACAUCUGCUACCAAGUCAAUGGGUUGGUCAAUGACUGUGUGCUCUUUGCUGAAUUAACGACUGAUUUUGGAACCAAACCAGGUAACUUUAGAGGUGAUGGCGAUGGUAGAUUCUGAAGAAUCAAUGGCUCUACUGGUGACCUGUUGAAAAGAAGAAGGCUGCUUUGACUUUGAUUAGCCAACGAGUGCUGGGAUACUGUGCUCCUGUUCAUUUGUUGGUGAUAUUUGUACAUAUGGUAUAGCUGUUAUAAUAGCAUGGUUUCUACUUUGUUAAGUCGUAUAGUUCAGUUCUGUCAUAGAGAGGUAAUUCUAUCUCUAAACUAUCUUACAGAAUCCUACUGCUGAGGUUUGCAAGGGCUUGGGUUGAGCUGGGGUAGUUUCCAGAAUACCAGACAAUUAUGCAAGGGUUGCUUCCAACUCUAUUGAAGUCGAGCUACUUGUCAUUGUUACUCUAUCAAUUGUAUCGUCUAAAGUCUAAACCAUGGUUGGUAAUCAUCUACAUCAUUAGGAAAGUUUAGUAUUUGAUUGAGAUAGCGGUGCAUGAGUUGGAUUUUCUUUGAAAUUUUGUACUGUGCGAAGGAACAACACUUCGAAGGAAAACAAACAGCUGGGCAUUAUGGUCAUAAGUGCAAAACGAGUUUUUUUUCUUUUUUCUUUUAGUGUUUUUUUGGAAACAGCCUCGUAGUGGUAAGGUAUAUAUAUACUUUACCCUCCCUAAACCCUACUUUGUGGAAUUUCAUCGGGUAGAUUGAUGUUGUAUUUUACUUUCUAUAUAGACAGUGUUUAGUGUGACACAGAAUGUCUUUCAGAAGAAACUUGCAGAUGACAUGUUAGAGAGUCCGGCACCAAAAUGGACGC